ensembl:misc_RNA Metazoa_SRP Metazoan signal recognition particle RNA
GCUGGGCAUGGUUGCUCAUGCCUGUGGUCCCAGCUUCUCAGGAGGCUGAGGCAGGAGGAUUGCUUGAGCUCAGGAGUUUGGGGCUGCAGUGAGCUAUGAUUGUGCCACUACACUCCAGCCUUUGCAAUAGACCAAGACCCUGUCUCAA